AUUUUCUCUCCUAUCAAAAAUAGAAAAAAGAAAAAGAAAAAUCAUCCCUUGCAAAAUCCUCCGUCUGUCUUCAUUGCCUCUGUUUACCAAAUUCAGGAUGGCUGAAGAACCAAGAAUGUCAGCUGAUGAUCUCCCAAAGAAGAAGAAGAGUCUGCAGAUAGCAGACAUUUGUCUGGAUCAUCCUGUAAAGGGCAAACCACCACAGUUAAGCAACUCGACGCCAUCUUCUCCGAGGCGCCUGCGCGAAAACUCGACUGUCAAGUUCAGCUGCCUCUGCUCCCCCACCACUCACCCCGGCUCCUUCAGGUGUCGGCACCACAGGAACCAGAUACGCACCAGCAUGUCCGUUGGUGCCAAGCUCUCUGAGAUGGCUGCGGGCAAAUAAAAGCAUGGCCUGCCUGGCUCAGCUUCACUCGGGGUAGUUUUGCUUCUUGCAGUAUACACUCAUCUUGCGCAAUAUUUGUUCUGGUUUUAAUCUGUUUGGACAUGAUUGUUGAGUUCUUGUGUUUGUUCUGUAAGCAGUUGUGUAAUUCAGAAAUACAUGGUUUUUGAAUCAUCCUAAACUAGUUUUCUUCUUCA